GACGGGGCCGCACAGCGUGAGUAUGUGGUUUAAUCGAUGCAACGCGAAGAACCUUACCUGGUCUUGACAUCCCGGAGACCCUUAGGAAACUAGGGGGUGCUUCCAUCUGGAAGAAUCUGGAGACAGGUGCUGCAUGGCUGUCGUCAGCUCGUGUCGUGAGAUGUUGGGUUAAGUCCCGCAACGAGCGCAACCCUUGCCUUUAGUUGCCAGCAGUUCGGCUGGGCACUCUAAAGGGACUGCCGGUGUUAAACCGGAGGAAGUGGGGAUGACGUCAAGUCCUCAUGGCCUUUAUGACCAGGGCUACACACGUACUACAAUGGCCGAUACAAAGGGCAGCGACACUGCGAGGUGAAGCCAAUCCCGUAAAAUCGGUCUCAGUCCGGAUUGGAGUCUGCAACUCGACUCCAUGAAGUUGGAAUCGCUAGUAAUCGUGGAUCAGCAUGCCACGGUGAAUACGUUCCCGGGCCUU
rnacentral:rRNA from 1 species